UACAGGUGUGAGCCACCACGCUUAGCUGUCUUUUUUUUUUUUUUUUAGGCAAGCAGCUUUUUAAUUUUCUUUGUGAUCAUAAAACCUAUACCCACUGUAUCAGCUGCCUGUUGCUGCUGUAACAAAUUGCCACAAAUGUAGUGGCUUAGAACAACACACAUUUCUUUCUUUCUUUUUUAAGUCAUAACAAUAUAUUUUAAUCUCAUAACAACUUCAAUUGAAUAUAAAACUUUCUAUUUUCAGCUAUUAAUAUUAAAAUUAUAUCAUUUUAUAUCCUGUAUUAACAGAUUUAUGCAGAUUUACAUUUCGUUCUUCAAAUUCUAUAGAAUUUUAAUUUUUUACUUUCAUAGGUUAUUGGGGAACACAGUGUUUGGUUACAUGAGUAAGUUCUUUAGUGGUGAUUUGUGAGAUUCUGGUGCACCCAUCACCCGAGCAGUAGACACUGCCCCAGAUAAAACAACGCGCAUUUCCUGUCUUCCAUGUUGUUCUGGGAGUCAGAGGUCUAAAACGGGUCUCGUGGGGCAAAAGGCAAAGUGACGGCAGAGCUGUUCCUUCUGGAAGCACUAGGAAAGACGUCAAGCCUUGCCCUUUCCAGUUUCUUGGGGGUGUGCUUGGCUCAUGGUCAUAUUCACAGCCAGCAGUGGCGUCACCCCGACCUCGCCACACAGCGAUCUCUGUGACACGUCCUUCUCUGCCUCUGACCCUCCUGUCUCCCUCUUUCACUUGUAAGAGUCUCCUGACUACAUUGGUGUCACCUGGAUAAUCCAAGACACUCUCCCCGUCUGAAGAUCCCUCAUCAAACUGCAUCUGCCAAGCCCCUUUUGCAGAUCAAAGGAGAAGCGAAUUGUGAUCUAUUCCAUACGAGGGGCUUGGUGCCUGCAGCAACACGGGUGAAUCUCCAGAGAGUGGUGACGAGUUGGAGGAGCCAGUCAAAAAAGAAAGUGCUGUGUGAUUCCAUUUAUAGAAAACUCCAGAAAAUGUGGACUAAUCUAGAGUGAUGGAAAGCAGACCCAUGAUUGCCUGGGACAAGGAGCCUUGGGGGUGGAGGGGGGCCAGGGGGAGGAGUUUCAAAGGUGAUAAGGACAUUUUGAGGGUGAUGGAUGUGAUCCCUAUCUUAAUUGUGGCCAUGGCUUCAUGGAUAGAUACAAAUGUCAAAACAUAUUGAACUGUAUACUUUAAAUGCUCGCACUUUACUACAUGCCAAUCACAUCUUCAUAAAGCUGGGGUUUUUUUUGUUUUGUUUUGUUUUGUUUUUGUUUUUUUCUGUGUUUUUUUUUAAAAAAGGCCUGGAAAUGGAGAUGAGGACAGCCUGGCCUCAGUCUCCCCACUUGCAAUGUGGGGGAUCCCCAUGUGCCUUGCACCCCCUGAGAGCUCCAGGCUUAGGAGGAGACCAAGGUGAGCCCUGCUUCUAGCCAGAAACCCCGAGGCCCUAACCCCCAGGGCUGGAUAGCUGCAGGGCCCAGGCUACUGCCCCUCCGGGGAUGGACAGGUGCGAGGCCCCUCCAGAGGCGUAACCUGUUUCCGGCAGGCCGUGGCCGUGAGGAGAAGAGUGCGGAGGUCCCUUUCUUCUUUCUUCCUGAAUAAAAAAAUGCAUGAUGCUA